GACGAACCGUGCGAACGUUGUUCGGAAUCACUGGGCUUAAAGGGCGCGUAGGCGGGCAAUCAAGUCUGAGGUGAAAUCCUCCAGCUUAACUGGAGAAGUGCCCCGGAUACUGGUUGCCUCGAGGAUGGUAGGGGCAUCUGGAACUAGCGGUGGAGCGGUGAAAUGCGUUGAUAUCGCUAGGAACUCCGGUGGCGAAGGCGAGGUGCUGGACCAUUUCUGACGCUGAGGCGCGAAAGCAUGGGGAGCAAACAGG
rnacentral:rRNA from 1 species